CAGUCGCCACGGGAAUACGUAGGUGGCAAGCGUUGUCCGGAAUUAUUGGGCGUAAAGGGCUCGCAGGCGGUUUCUUAAGUCUGAUGUGAAAGCCCCCGGCUCAACCGGGGAGGGUCAUUGGAAACUGGGAAACUUGAGUGCAGAAGAGGAGAGUGGAAUUCCACGUGUAGCGGUGAAAUGCGUAGAGAUGUGGAGGAACACCAGUGGCGAAGGCGACUCUCUGGUCUGUAACUGACGCUGAGGAGCGAAAGCGUGGGGAGCGAACGGGAUUAGAUACCCCAGUAGUCCCUGUCUCUUAUAC
rnacentral:rRNA from 1 species